AGACACGCGCUUUCUAUGCAACUGGUAAAUCCAGGAAUUAAAGAUGGCUACUGUAAACCUGCGGUUGAGUUUGCAGCAUUGCUAUCAAAGUUACGCCAGGGUCAUUUUUGCUAUGAAUAAAAAGUGUGAACAUAGGGUGGAUUCGAGUGCACCCAUACUCAUCAACCAUAAUCUCAUAUUAAAUGGAUCAAAGUGAAUCGAGGAAAUACUUAUCUUAAAAAAUACCCAAAUGUAGUUAUGUAAUUUCACUUUUUAAAGAAAAAAAUUUGAUAUGAAAUAAACAUUUCUUUUUAUCACUUUGUUGCCGUUAUAACCGUUAUAGUAGUAAGAGGGGAAGUGUGAAUCGGGGGAUAGAGGCGAUCUGGAAAUAAUCGCAAGAAUAGUAUCAAUGUAUGGACUAUCGUUGAUAAAAACUGAAGAUAAACAAGAUUAGAAAAAGUUAUCCCACAUUGUAAAAACAUUACCAACACUUUUUUUUUCUUAAUACCAAGCUGUUUUUUAUUUGAAUCAAUUUCAUUAGAGGUCCGUACAAAGCAACGCUUUUUGAGGGUUUGCAAGAUUCUUCUCCUUGUAGCUGUUGUUCCUUCUGGAGACUGAUAUUAGGAAGCCUAAAAAUGCUAUUUUAAGAUGUUCUUGGAACAAAAAAAAAAUUAGAAAUUGUUUUUGGUUUAUUUAUUUCUUAUUUUUAUUAAGCCAUGCAACUUCUGGAAUAUUUUUUAUUCGUUUGAAAUUUUGUGGUCCAUAAAAAUCUUACUUUUUUUUAUAUACAUUUUUUUCUUACAUAAAAAUGUGCAUGAUUUUAGGAUGUGUUAGGGCUGCUCUGAAACGAGUAACCUUUCAAUAAAUUUCUACAAAAUAAGCAACAAAAAUAUAUAAAAUAUUUGGGAGAUAUUAUUUUCUUUAUCUUAGAACAUGUUUUGAUCUAUUUUAAGUAGUAAUUGUUUAACUAAAAAUGAAUGAAAAUAAAAACUAUUUACAUAAAAAAAGGGAAAAACUUCAUUUACUCAGAGUACAUCUAACAAGAUUAUGACAGAAUGUGUUUCAUAGAAAGGCUUUGAAUCUGACACGACCCACAUGAAAUGCUGUUAUCCUACAUGAAAUGGUGUCAUCCAAUUUCGCUCAUGAGCAAAACACCAUCCCAAUGACAAAUAUUUGCUCGCUUUUCGUCUAAUUAUUUGACUAAUGGGUACAAAAAUAGAUAAUGAAACUAACAGCUACCCUUAGGUCUGUGUAAAUACAGGAUUAAAUACAGCGAACUGAGUAAAUACAGUGAAUUAGCUCUGCGUGAUAUAUUUAGCGGAAAUAUAACGGGUCGUCUCCAAUUCCAGAUUAACAAAUUUUACUUUUAUAAAUAAAAUGUUGGCCACCUGAAAAAACCCCAAAAUUCUAACGAAUAACAUCUCAGCAAAAAACUUCCGUGGAGAUACAUAAUUAUUUUUAAUUUUUAACUGUUUUUUUAAAUAAAAAUUACAUUGACUUUGACCUUGACAGCAUGCAAAUUACAAAUAGCGAAAUUAGACAGAUGGGAUUCAACUUUUAUUCGUUUCCUAGAUGGCAAAUAAACAAAGCUUGAGUUUGCUUGAUUUAAAUGUGAGAAUCAGUUCAUUUGGCGCCCCAACAAAGUCUUAUCCAAGUAGUCUCAUAAACCAACGAAAGUUCGAAGGGGUAUAGGCACUAGAACUAAAAUAAGCGAACAGCCGUUUCUUUUCUAAAAAAUGUUUCCCUUGUCUCAAAUUUAAAUGCCUUAACGUUUUUUCGGAUGGAUUUUUGGUAAUAUUUUGGGUUACGGCUGGGUUACGUUUAACAGCUAAUGUACAAAAUUUUACAGAAAUUAUGAAAAGACAAGUGUUGUAAAUUUUAAAGAAACACUUGAUUAAGUUCUUCUUCAAAUGUUAUGUUCAAACACAGAGAUUGGAAGAAACAAUCACGUGACCACAAUAUCUGUUCUGUUUUGGUGAUUUUUUUUUUCUUUGUUACUCAUCGUCUAACUUGAAACCCGCUGAGCCCUACGAACUUCAAAAACAGUUUUUCAUUCAAUUUUUAAUUACCUUAAGGCUAUUUUGUUCAAAGUGCUAAAUUAGUUCUUUGUCUAUUAAAAGUUUAGUUUCUGCCAUAAAAUUAUACUGGUCAAUUAUGUUGUUUGACUCAAGUCCUUUGUAAUUAUUUAAUGUCAUCUAAUUAGAGUGUUGAAGAAUAAUAAUUCAUUGUAUGGAGAUAUUGCCCACUAAGCAUUUAUAUUUCAACGCGCCAACGCUAUUAAUUAUAUAUAUUUUUAAAUUUUUUAUUUAUAAGAAUUACAAUAUUUGAUUUGGAAGUUCUAUAUAAUCAAAUUUCAAUGUGAAAUACAUCAUAGCCUUUUCUAUAAAUGUCAGAAUAAAGUUUGUAAAGAAAUCUUAAGGACAAAAAAGAAUUUUUUCAGAAUAAUUGGAAGGGACUUAUCUUGGAAUUUAAACUUUCCCUGGCUAUGUUGGUGUAAAAAUAGAAAGGGAUGUACAAGAAGCGUGACAAGCACCGGCAUCUGCAAACGUCCGAUAUUCAAGAGCUAACCUUCAACAACUAUGCUUGACUAUUGGCUAUAUACUCUUUUCCAAUGUUGAUAUUGAAAUUCAACCGUGAAAUACUGACUUCUAUCUAAGUGAACGAUAUAUUUACGGAAGAACUUUUUGCAAAUAAGUGGUCCCAAAAUACUGGGUCACUUUGUGCAACAUAUUUUUCCGAAAUUCACGAAUUUAAUUUUUCAGGAUGCUACAAUCAGAAUUUUGUCUAAUAUAGUUUUAAUAAAUAAAAAAGUCUACGUGAAAUCGAGAGAUGAGGAAAUGAAAUUUUUACAAAACACAAGCAAUGAAGAAUUUUGCGAAUCAAGGUAACGUAUAAAUUUGGAUAUAAUUAUAAAUAAAUAAAUCAAAAACAAAAGUUGCUCAAAGAUCUCUUCCGCAAAAUUAACUUGUCCCCUAAAAAUAAUUAUAAGUAACCAUCCCAAAAAUUAAAGAAGUUGUUAUUGUUUUUUUUUACUAUGAAAAACUCUUUAAAAAGGUUUUUAUACGAAAUGCUGUGGCUCGGUCAUUCAGUUUUAUUGCGAAAUUGAAAUACACGUCUUUUUUUUUUAUAAGAAACAAACUUUUUGAGGUCAUCCUGAAUUUCUUAAUUUUAAAGAAGCCUUUUAAAAUUUUUGUAGUCAGACCUCUGUGUUGUUCCCUCAAAACUCUUUUUAGCUAGAUUUCUUUCAAUCUAUCAAUUUACUUUUUAAUUUUCUCAACAUUUGUGAGUUAGCAGUUCGAGUUAGGAAACAUUGUGUUUCUUAUAAAAACGGACGUGUAUUAAAUAUUCCCUUCACUUCCUUGUUGCGUUAUACAUUGCUUCGUUUAUUGGUUAUCUUUCCUUACUUGUUCAACCAAUUUUUAUAUUUCGCAUUUUUUAGCAGUUUGAAAUAAAAAUACUCUUUGGCGAAAAAAUCUUAGCCAUAACUAGAAAAGUUUUUCUUGUGAAGGGCUUGAAGAGAUAUAUUCAUAUAAAAAAUUCAAAAUAUUAAUUAAUUAUUGUCAGGCUCUUAUUUCCUGGUGUUCAUUUCAUGGCCUACACUAUAUUUUCGGCUUCCUUGAAAGCAAAACAUCUUUGUUUUAGGGUUCGCGUUUUUUUCUCGUAAUGUGUUUAUGGAAAAACCGUUAGCGUUAAUGACACUUAAGUAUGUAAUUAUAAUUUGUUUGUUUGUUGAUUUUAGCACUUCAUCUUUGUUUUCUUUUGCUUUUAAUUAUUGUGUGUACUCGGCCCAUUUCCGUGUUGGCACGAGCCCGGCACGAGCCACGAGACGUUUUUUGUCUAGUGUACUUGUCAAAUAUUUGUACACAUCUUUCGCGGAUUUAAAUGCUGUGAUGUACCGCCACUGUUUCUUCACCUUUUAUUUAAUAGAGAAAAGAAAAUUUUAAGUCCUCGCCCAAUGCGUGACAAAAUCUGAAAUUUCUACAAACAUUUUUUAUCUGUUAAAAUGGUUUAUUCAAUUAAACCACUUUAGAAUUUCCUUUCGAAAUCGAGGCACAAAUCAAGGCGUUGGCCUAUUGUGGAACGUUGUAAAUUUCAUCUAAAGAUAUAAAAAUCAUAACUCUAAGAUUAAAAGUCUAUUUGAGGAAAAAAUCUGUUAAAGGCAUUUUUUAAUUUAGACAAUUUUUCGCAAUUCUGCAUUUGAUUGUGAAUGCAUUUUUCUACUCUUGUUUUCACAGCUUAUCUGUCUAUUAUGUAUUCGUUCUGCACCGACAAUGUUCGAGGGGAUUUUCCCCCAAAUGCUACGUAGCAUGUUUCAUUCUUUUAACAGAUAAUAAUUUUGUGCAAGAAUAUAUAUAUGUAGAUCUAACAUACCCACGCUGUCGACAAUUUUAUUUUCGCUUUGGCGUUUCAGACAUUUUGUGUGUAAGGUACAUUGACCUGUCAGAAUUAUGUCAUUUUUGCCAAAAAUGUAUAUAGUUUGGACUUUAAACUUUUUAAAUCCGUUUAAAAUCUGUCAAUCCAAGUUGUGAUAUUAUUCCAGACAAAGAGACGCUGAUAGCAUUAGGAUUAUCUCAAGGCAGAAUAGAUUAAAUGGACACAAACAAAGAAGAUAUUUUAACAAGAAUAAAUAGGCGAGAAAAAGGGUUUUAUGCCGUAUUCAGUUCUUAAAAAUGUUAUGUUUCUUUUAUAACAAGACCACAUAGUAGCUUUUUUUUAGCUAAUCGAAGUCUCAAUGCAAUAUGUAAUAAAAGAAAUCGUAGACCAAAGAGGCAUUAAUCUGAGUCCUUAACAGAAAGCAAAAAUUUUUAGAUGUAAACAAGGUGUCACUCACAAAUUUGAAACUAGAAUGGCUAAAUUUACUACUGCCUCGCUUUCCAUUUAUAAAAUCCUUCACAAUUGAGAUUUAAUAAAGGAGAGAAAAUAGACUCUCUUAUCAGCUGAUCUGCUACCAGCAUUUUAUUUUCAAGUAAAAAAUAUGUUUACAAAAUCGUGUGGGUUUUUUUUUAAUAUCGCCACAUUUAAUGAGAAAUAAUCAUAUAAUUUCAGACGUCAUUGUAUUUAAUAAAAUUAAAGAGGUUUUUUUUAACAAAUAUAAAUUCUUUGUGUCGCGAAAUUUCUUAUCUAUAAUGUCUAGCUUUUUUCUCAGUUGCGAAAUAACAUCAACGAAUAUUUUGGGUAGAAGUGAUACAUCACCGACAAUUCGUUUUGAAAUUGAACGAAUGUAAUUAUUCGAUUUGGCAAUUCUUAAGUUGAUUUGUCAGAUAAGUAAUUUAGUGAAGUUUUAACUAGAGAAAAAAGAGAGUGAAGCCCGCAAAGUCAUAGGGCUCGACAACGGUAUGUUGAAACAUGACAGAGGACUAACUCGCCUUCCCCUCCCCCAUUCCGCCACCUGCUACAAAAUUACUAUUUUUUGUAAUUCCAUAUUUUUAGUGAAAAAAAGUAAUAUAUUUCGUAAAAGAAAUUAUAUCAUAUGUACUAUUUUUUGUCUUUGCUACAUCUAUGUAACGUUUCAAGUUUUUCAAAUUCGUAAUUUUAGUUUUUGUCCAAUUGUAGUAGGCAAAGUUACCCCAACUUUGUCCCCGGGACUUGUUAGACUUUUUAUAUUUCUGGGGAUGGGGUUGAAGUUACACCGACAACUCGUGUGAGACUCUAGUUUUAUAGUUUCAAAUUUAUAUAGCGUGGUCGCAACAAGGACGUUACCUUCUUCGACCUUUUUUUGUCAAUUGUUAAAUAUAAAAUAUUAAUUUUCUCAUCUACUGCAGCUAAUUUAGCAUUGACUUAACAUUAGGAACAAUUAUCUACAAUUUUUAUUAUGUUAAAUCCUCCAUUUUAUCUAACAACUUUUAUUUUGUCCAACAAUUCAGGCGCGUUUUGACAAAUAUUCGUGCAAAUUGUAACGUGUCAUCCUUUGAAGUUUUGCCAGACAUGACGUCAUCAGUGUCACCCAUUAUUCUUCAAAAACCCUAUGGGUGCCCUUUUAGAAGUCAAAUAUUGCCUUAACUCCUGAUGAGAAAACGUUUUGAGUUCAAAGUAAAGCAUUACGUAUAAUGUGAGUCGGACUUUUUUUAUUUAACACAACUUAAGCAGACUAUAAAUGCACAUUCACGGCGAGGUUUCAUAGGAAAAAUAUUUUAGAAAAAUUAUAAAAAUGGUUUUUUUAAACAACCCAGUGGGGAGUGUCUACGCUUCGGGUUGCAGAGUUUCGGGUUACCUGUCCACGUCAAAACAAAUUGAUUUUCCCUUUUUUCAUAAUGUGACAGUAAUAGGAUUGAAUAAUACAAGCUACCUCAAUACACAUUUUGAUCGCCAUCUUGAAUAAGAGCUCCCGGAAACGCGGCAAACAUAAAAAAAAUUGUUAUUCAAAUUUUAGUAGGGGACUCGUAGGAAAGUCUUUCGUAUUUCUCAACAGAGACAGAAGAAUUUUCGGGUUUUAACGUUGGAUUUGUUGCUCUGCCUGAAGUUAAUUCGCUAGAAUUAUAAACGAGAUGUAACGGCUGUUAAAAACCUGUAGCCCAACCCAUUCCUACAAUCAGCACACCCCUAAGUAGCCCUAUGACGUCAAUAAUCGGGUUAAAUCAAAAAAAAGUUUAAGCAAAUGGCGGAGUAGUAAUUAAGGUGGAGAAAAACAAAAAUGUUUGUUUACUCAAUACAAUGUUAUGAGCGUUUCAAGGUUAACUUAUUUGGGAAUGGGAUGUACAUUUUUUUUCUAAACGAAAGUGUGGACAAGGUGUCAUCGUUUGAAAUGUAUUUUAUUUAUUUUUAUUCACUUGUUCUGUUUCACAUUUCCCCCCAAAAAAGUGACAAAAUAAUUUUGGGACUUUUAUUAUCGAUGUGAUACAGUUUCACAAUUCUAAGAAUUUUUUUUCAUCUUCUAUCGGUGUCAGUUUGGUUUCAUUCUUGAAAUUCAGGUUACUAGUGAAAAUUUAACUUAAAAUUUUUGUCGAAACAUAAGGGGUUUUUUAACUAGCGAUAAAACAGAACAGUCAAAUUAAAAUUCGGUUUGAAAAUAUUUUUUUAAAGACAACUUUGUACACGGUGCCUGACAAGAAAUAUCCUUGCCCGUACGCCCUGUUAAUUUUUGCCACGUGGUAAAAGCGUGGUGGUUAUUCAAAUACAAUGUGGCUGCAAUAUUUAGGUUACGUUUAAAUGGCAACACCCUUCCCAAAAAAAAAU